rnacentral:rRNA from 1 species
CCUACGGGGGGCAGCAGUGAGGAAUAUUGGUCAAUGGGCGGGAGCCUGAACCAGCCAAGUAGCGUGCAGGAUGACGGCCCUAUGGGUUGUAAACUGCUUUUGUAUGGGGAUAAAGUCAAUCACGUGUGAUUGUUUGCAGGUACCAUACGAAUAAGGACCGGCUAAUUCCGUGCCAGCAGCCGCGGUAAUACGGAAGGUCCGGGCGUUAUCCGGAUUUAUUGGGUUUAAAGGGAGCGUAGGCCGGAGAUUAAGUGUGUUGUGAAAUGUAGACGCUCAACGUCUGACUUGCAGCGCAUACUGGUUUCCUUGAGUACGCACAACGUUGGCGGAAUUCGUCGUGUAGCGGUGAAAUGCUUAGAUAUGACGAAGAACUCCGAUUGCGAAGGCAGCUGACGGGAGCGCAACUGACGCUUAAGCUCGAAGGUGCGGGUAUCGAACAGGAUUAGAUACCCGAGUAGUC